UUAACACUCAAGAGAAAAGGUAACUUUGAUUAUUUUCUUUUUAAUUUCUUGUUAUUAAAUUUAAUUAUUAUGUCUCUUUUAAAAACCGUGUAAGAUACUUGAUAUAAAAUCAAUAUUAUCAUGUCCAGGAAGAGUAACCGUUGUUAAAAGGAAAUACACAGGUUGCUUCCCUUGGCUCUUGUGCAGUGAAUCUGCCCAGGCUUAUGAAGUAAACAAAAUAAAGUAUGUCAACUAAAUUUAUAUCACAUAAUGUUAUAAAAUACCUUUCAUUUAAUAAAUAUAUUUGUCAUAUUACUUUUUAUGUAAAUAUGCGUUUGAAAUAUUUGACUUUAAAAUAUAUUCAGUCCUGUAUGAUCAUACAAAUAGGCGCGCGACAAAGCUGCAUUGACUCAAUUUCGAAAUUAUCAAGGUGAGCCAUUUGUCUGUAUUGGGUGGCCGAAACCGCGCUGAUGUGUGCCGGCGCAUUCUGAAGCAUUGCAUGUCAAAUGAGGUGGCCAACCAGUACAGCUGGCAUGGGAGGAAGAAAAAGGCAGAAUUUGGAAAACUUUCUAUUGGCUGAUGCUGUGCAGAAAGCUGUCAUGCGGUCCUUGAAAUGCACAGCUGCAGAAGUUGAACAUGAGUGCAGGGAAUGGUUUAGAACAGCCUCUGACCGUGACGGUGGAAGAAAAAAGAGGACAGCCAAAAUAAGUGAUGAACAGUCCCAAUGAAUUUUAACUCGUGUGUGUUUUAACUUUUAAUUUAGUCUCCUGCUGCAAUUUGUUAUGAUGUAAAGGUCUCUUUGAACUUGAAAUUAAUGAUUUUACACAACUUUUCUUUUAAUAUGUAUACUGAUGGAAGCAGUGUAUAUUUUUUUUGUUUUUUUUUUUGCCUUUAUUACCUAAAUAGCUGUAACUCUGUGUGUUACUUAGGUAAACGUAACUUUUCAAUAUAUUCUUGUUCUAAUUGUUUUCAUUUGUCAUUUUUGAAGAAAACAAGUUUCAUGUAGUUUGUAUUAAUAUUGAAGACAAUUUUCUUGUAAUAUUUUUUAUUCAAAACUUUCUAGAAAUGCCCAUAAUUUAUGUCUAAGUUCAGGGGACAUACAAGGUGUUUAUUUCUGAAAAUACUCAAUUAUAAAAAUCAAUUCCCUCAAUUCAUUUUGAAUUUGAUAAGUGACAGAACUCAAUUAUUUUUAUUUUCAAGUGAUCAUUUCCUGGUGAAAACAACAAAUAAUUUUAAUAUAUGUUAGUUUAAGGUAUUUAUAUGUAAAUAAGUCCCAGUAAACUACUCAAUUAUAUAUCAUUCAGCAAUAUAUUGCUCUGUCCUACUGCAAUGUAUUCAUUAACAAAUACUGGCUGCUUUAUACUGCAUAUCAUUAUUAGUUCUCUUUAAAGGAAUGGUCUGACUUAAUGGCUUUUUUUUCAGUAUUUUGGGGAUGUGAUCCCAUUCCAUGAAAUUGGGAAAUGUUGUGUCAAUAUAUAUAUUUACCUGCAGUUCAGAAAAAGUACAACUGAUUAACUACAAGUCUUAUUCCACAUUUCACAGCUAGUAUUUACCAUUUAAGACUAUUCAACAAUGAGGAAUUGCUUGACUUGAUUUAGGGGGAAAACAUGUGUUCUGCCAUUGACAACAUGGCCCAUUACCUUAAAGUGAGAUUUCUAGUCACUUGUACAUUUACAUUUUGUGCCAUUACUAUGUUUUGUUUUUUUUGCUGGAUAGCAAUUUCCUGAAUUUACUUGUUACAAUUUUUGUGUAUCGUAUGACUGCUAUGUUGUAUUUUGCUGACUAGUCUUGUUACUAUUUUUUGUGUAUCAUAUGACUACAUUGUUGUAUUUUGCUGACUAGUCUUACUUGUUACUAUUUAUUGUGUAUCGUAUGACUACUAUGUUGUAUUUUGCUGACUAGUCUUAUUUGUUACUAUGUUUUGUGUAUCGUAUGACUACUAUGUUGUACUUUGCUGACUAGUCUUACUUGUUACUAUUUUUUGUGUAAGGUAUGACUACUUUGUUGUAUUUUGCUGACUAGUCUUAUUUGUUCUUAUUUUGUGUGUAUCUUAUGACUACUAUGUUGUAUUUUGCUAACUAGUCUUAAUUGUUACUAUUUUAUGGGUAUCAUACGCUAUCCAUUUUAAAGAAAGGGUUAUUUUAUUAAUUGCCAGGGUAUAUAGACCAGUUUUGAUAAUAUGGGUGAUAUGAACCAUUUAUACAUGCAUGUUUGGUUAUUUUUCAUGUAUACAAUAUGCAUGUUGGAUACGUUGGUUUUCUUCAUAAUUCUCUUAUUUUAUUUUCAUUUGCUGAAUAUUCUAUUACCAAAAUACAAAACUCAAGUCAUUUGGUCAUUUAACAUUUUGUUUCAAUGUGUUACUUUUUCAGUUUCUGUACCUGUAGAAUUAUAGAGUCUGUUUAAAUAAUUUCUUUUACAUUUGUUGUUAGUCAAUGUAUAUAUUAAUUAAUUUUACCCCAUUAGAAUAAAAAUGUUGGAAUUAGUAAUAAAUCAGUUUAAUAUUUUCAGUUUCAAGACAGUAGUAUAAUUAGCAAAUACUGUAUUCCAGUUUGGUUGAAAAGAAUGUAAAAAUAAAAUGUUGUCUAAA